UCCAGAGGUGGCAAGCGUUGUUCGGAAUCACUGGGCUUAAAGCGCGUGUAGGCGGCUUGGCAAGUGUCGUGUGAAAUCCUGCGGCUCAACCGCAGAACUGCACGGCAAACUGCCCGGCUUGAGGUCGGUAGAGGUGCCUGGAACUCUAGGUGGAGCGGUGAAAUGCGUAGAUAUCUAGAGGAACACCGGAGGCGAAAGCGGGGCACUGGGCCGAUUCUGACGCUGAGACGCGAAAGCGUGGGGAGCAAACAGG
rnacentral:rRNA from 1 species